rnacentral:rRNA from 1 species
GGAAUAUUGGGCAAUGGAGGAAACUCUGACCCAGCGACGCCGCGUGAGGGAUGAAGGCCUUCGGGUUGUAAACCUCUUUCAGUAGGGAAGAAGCGAAAGUGACGGUACCUACAGAAGAAGCACCGGCUAACUAUGUGCCAGCAGCCGCGGUAAUACAUAGGGUGCAAGCGUUGUCCGGAAUUAUUGGGCGUAAAGAGCUCGUAGGUGGUUCGAUACGUCGGAUGUGAAAAUCAGGGGCUCAACCCCUGACCUGCAUUCGAUACGGUCGAGCUAGAGUUUGGUAGGGGAGACUGGAAUUCCUGGUGUAGCGGUGGAAUGCGCAGAUAUCAGGAGGAACACCGAUGGCGAAGGCAGGUCUCUGGGCCAAUACUGACACUGAGGAGCGAAAGCGUGGGGAGCGAACAGGAUUAGAUACCCUGGUAGUCCACGCCGUAAACGGUGGGCGCUAGUUGUGCGAACCUUCCACGGUUUGUGCGACGCAGCUAACGCAUUAAGCGCCCCGCCUGGGGAGUACGAUCGCAAGAUUAAAACUCAAAGGAAUUGACGG